rnacentral:rRNA from 1 species
GACGAACGCUGGCGGCGUGCUUAACACAUGCAAGUCGAACGAAGUGGCGCACGGGUGAGUAACGCGUAAUCAACCUGCCCUUCAGAGGGGGACAACAGUUGGAAACGACUGCUAAUCCCGCAUACGGACGGAGUGGAUUGCGUCUGAUUAGCUAGUUGGGGGGGUCACGGCCCACCAAGGCGAUGAUCAGUAGCCUGUCUGAGAGGAUGAACGGCCACAUUGGGACUGAGAAACGGCCCAGACUCCUACGGGAGGGAGCAGUGGGGAAUCUUCCGAAAUGGACGAAAGUCUGACGGAGCAACGCCGCGUGAUUGAUGACGGCCGUCGGGUUGUAAAGCUCUGUUAAUCGGGACGCGGUACCGGAAUAGAAAGCCACGGCUAACUACGUGCCAGCAGCCGCGGUAAUUC